GCCAACGGCCAUACCACGUUGAAAGCACCGCUUCUCGUCCGAUCAGCGAAGUUAAGCAACGUUGGGUCUGGUCAGUACUUGGAUAAUGGGUGACCGCCUGGGAACACCAGAUGCUGUUGGCG